rnacentral:rRNA from 1 species
UACGAGGGGGGCGAGCGUUGUUCGGAAUUACUGGGCGUAAAGGGCGCGUAGGCGGUCUGCUAAGUUCGGUGUGAAAGCCCCCGGCUCAACUGGGGAACUGCGCUGGAAACUGGCAGACUAGAGUACCGGAGAGGAGGGUGGAAUUCCUGGUGUAGCGGUGAAAUGCGUAGAUAUCAGGAGGAACACCGGUGGCGAAGGCGGCCCUCUGGACGGAUACUGACGCUGAGGCGCGAAAGCGUGGGGAUCAAACAGG